GACGAACGCUGGCGGCGUGCUUAACACAUGCAAGUCGAACGGAAAGGCCCUGCAUUUGUGGGGUGCUCGAGUGGCGAACGGGUGAGUAACACGUGAGUAACCUGCCCUUGACUUUGGGAUAACUUCAGGAAACUGGGGCUAAUACCGGAUAGGAGCUCCUGCUGCAUGGGGGGGGUUGGAAAGUUUCGGCGGUUGGGGAUGGAAUCGCGGCUUAGCAGCUUGUUGGUGGGGUAGUGGCUUACCAAGGCGAUGACGGGUGGCCGACCUGAGUGGGUGACCGGCCACAUUGGGACUGAGAGCCGGCCCAAGUGCCUACGGGAGGCAGCAGUAGGGAAUCUUCGGCAAUGGACGGGAGUCUGACCGAGGCACGCCGCGGGAGUGAAGAAGGUUUUUGGAGCGUGAAACUCUGUUGGUAGAGAAGAAAGUUGGUGAGAGUGGAAAGCUCAUCAAGUGACGGUAACUAACCAGAAAGAGACGGCUAACUACGUG
rnacentral:rRNA from 1 species